UGAGCCCCUAAUCAAUGCUACAAUUUACAAAACUUCCUUUUUCUCUCUGUUCAGAAAGAAAACAGGGAGAAUGCCUGCGUUGCUGCUUCGCAGCGUGCUGAUUUGGGGAAACCUCUCCUGUUGCUAGGACCACUUAUUGGCCUCUUGCCAGGUGUCAGAUCCAGAACUAAGCAUCAAUCUACACUGUCUUUCAAAACUCAUACCUUCGUGAGGUAAUGUAUUAUCCUGUUAUGAAGAGGUUUCGUGAGAUAGUCAUUCUCCUCAUUUAUUUCCCAUAUUUUUGAGCUUACUAAUGAAUCACCAGUUACCUCUACCACUUGCUUUUUUUACAAAAUUCAAUUUCUUGUGGGCAUUCACCAAACUGUCAGUUUGUACACUGACAACUGUUGGAAGCAUUUCGAAAGCCAACUGCUAGACAGAUGAGAAGUAGGUGUGGCUGGAAGUGGGUGUAGCUGGACUCUCAGAAAGAGGACUGGGUUUCCCUCCUGCCUCUAUCCUUAUUUAGCUGUGGGACUUCUGUUAAACUGCAAUCGCUCUUGGCCCCAGUUUCCCCAUCUGUAAUAAUGGUCCCUUCAGACUAGAGGACUUUGAAGGUCAGCUUCAGCCUUCAGUCUUCAAAGCUGGAAGGGAAAACUGGGCAGAAGCCUAAGUGUGAUGUCCAGGGUUAAUUGCCCUACAAUAUCAAGUUGCCAGAGUUUCCAGAGCAGUUCAGCAGUUCAUCAACAAACCAGGUUUCCUGUUAAGAGUCUACAAAUGCGGGCACUAGUGGGAGACUGAAGGGCAAACACAGGGAGAGGGUUCCUGGAGGGCUUUCGAUCCUUGUACAGACUGAACUCCUGACCAGGGGACACGAAAAUGACCACGUAGCCUGAACUGCCCCCCAUGAACUGGAUGUUAUAUUGUCCACCAAGCCAGGAGUUUGGGCAAAUCCAAGGGAUUUUCUUAUGAUGGAAGAAAACAACUUGAGCUGUUUAUAGAUGGUUAGAGCCUAAGGAAGGUGGCUCUAACGCAAUUUAGACGUUAAUGGACAACAGAAGUUCAUUAAACUGGAGGUUAAAACUAUUACCUGGACACUUCAGGCUCCUUAUGGCAUUGAACUUGGAAUACCUUUGUUAAUUUGUAAGUUCAGAAAUUAUAAUACUUUGGAGAGUGGCUGGGAUUGAAGAUCACCUUUGCUAAGCUGGAAAUAAAAGUUUCCAGCUAAUGAAUGGUAUAAAUCCCACAUGAGGAAAGGAUGUGUAUAAUUCACAUAAUAGACAAUAAUUUAAAAAAAUCUCUAACCCACCCCACCAAGUUGAGGGUGUGGCAUCAUGAAAAUGGAGCUGCUGAGAUCCAGCGUGUGGAUCAGGUUUUAUGUGGUCUCAGCGCCUUCUCAUUUUGGAGCUUCUGAUCUGUAAAGUGACCUGGACUAAAUGAGAUGUCCUCCAACGUGAUGGUCAACAGACUCUCCCCCAGCAUGAGGCCCAUACCAAGCAUAAGGAAUCGGAAUCUCUGGAGCUGGAGGAUAGAAGUCUGUAUUUUUAAAAAUCCUUCAUGUCUGGAAGAUUUAAGAACCACAUGGAACCCCAUGUCGCAUCUAGCCAGGAUUGUUUAAAAUCUCUGUUUUUUGUUUGUUUGUUUGUUUGGGGGGGUUUUUUUUGCUGUUGCUGCCACCCUCUUUCAGUGCAGGAAACAAGUUAUCUCCAGUGAUCUGUUGCUGCCUUGGUGACUGAUGCUCAUGACUGACGCUCCUGAUAUGCACUAGUUGCAGUGGUUUCUCAAGGACCGGUGAAGGGAGAGAGGCGGUUUUUCUUUGAGUGUUGCGUGCAGCUGAGGUUGUGGAGGCUGAGUAGGUACCCCCUGCACACCAGCAAAGCCUUUCCUUGCGGUCAUUUCCUUAUCUGUGUGGUGAAAACUAUGUCUGUCCUUGAGAAGCAAUGAACUGUAUUUUCUGGAUAUGUGUUGUGUUAGUUGAUCUAACUAUUAAUGAGAUUUUUCAAUAUGCAAAUAAAAUGUAGAAAACA